AGUAAAUUUAUGGAAAGAAAAAAUCUAAAUAUUCGGUAGUAUAAUUACUGCCCAACCAUUUUUUUUAUAAAUAAAAAUGAAAGUGGGUCCCACUCGUCCAAAUCAGUGUCAAUAUUACCAAAAAAAAUAAGAAAUGCAGGCCCAAUCACCCAGCUCAGCCAAACUAAUAUCCGUUUGUGGUGGAUGUGACGGAAGGGUUUAAAUGUAUUGUUUUUGAAAAAUAAAGCUCCUAUUGGGAACAAAAAAAACAUCAAGGGCUCAGUUGGCCCACUAGUUAUAGUUCAGGGGUCUGGCUAGCCCUUUUCCCUAUAUAGUAAGACAUUACAUCAAUUGUUUUUCUUUUCCAAUUACAAAACAAACCAUAAAGUUCUAGUUGUAGACCUGUGGUUAGAUAUUUAGCGUCGAAGAUUGAGUUCACGAUCUCUCUUCUUAAUGUGGUUAAUUCUACACUUUGUACAAAAAUUCUCCUUCCAUCCUAAUUUACCAUACCAGGAAAAAAAAAAAAUCAGAACUGGUAACCUGUGCAACAAACUCCUCUGUUGGCAUGUCUGCGCCUAUUUAAGUAGCUUCUACGGCUUGCUGUAUUGCCUGUGCAGCUAAACUCUCCCUCUCUCUCUCAUUCUCGAUACGAUAUAACUCCAGCCAUUGCUCAGUAAAGUUCUUUCACUAUUUAUUCACCAACAACAGAAAGCUAUAAGCAAAUAGCUGAAAAAAGAAUAAGAAACUAUGGUUUUUGUAACAGUAGUCGGUCUAAGCUUACUCUUAUGCCUUGCCCAUUGGAUUUAUACUUGGAGGAACCCGAAGUGCAAUGGCAAACUCCCACCAGGUUCAAUGGGUUUUCCCAUCAUCGGAGAGACCGUUCAAUAUUUUAUUCCUUGCACGAAUCUUGACAUUCCUCCUUUCCUCAGAGAGAGGAUGGAGAGGUAUGGUUCUCUGUUUAAAACCAGUAUAGUUGGCUACAAAAUUGUAGUUUCUACAGAUCCAGAGAUCAAUCAUUUCAUAUUCCAAGAAGAAGGGAAGUCAUUUAUAUCCUGGUAUGUGGAUAGCUUCACUGAUAUUUUCGGAAAAGAUAAUUCCUUCUUUCUUCAAGGCUUCGUCCACAAGUAUGUGAGGAACUUGACCUUGAACUUUGUCGGUGUUCAAAGCCUGAAAGAAAGAGUGCUUCCUCAAGUCGAAAAGCUGACUUGCAAACAUUUGCAGUCCUGGUCCAGCCAGGGCACAGUCGAAUUGAAAGAAGCUAUUUCUACAAUGAUUUUUAAUUUUAGUGCCGAAAUGCUAUUUAGUUCCAACGAAACAGAGUCCACGACGAAGUUGAGGAAAUCCUAUGCUGCUUUUCUAGAUGGUUUGAUCUGCUUCCCUCUGUACAUUCCUAGAACUGCUUACUGGAAAUGUUUACAGGGACGUAAGGAAGCAAUGGGGAUUUUAAAGAGUAUGUUAGAGGAAAGGCGUACAGCACCUAAGAGAGAAAAGAAAGAUUUUCUUGAUGUUAUGGUAGAAGAAACCAAGAAAGACGGAAGCUUCCUAACAGAGAAGAUGGUUUUAGAUCUACUUUUUAUGCUUCCUUUUGCUUUUUUUGAGUCUACCUCCUCGACUAUGGUAUUAGCAGUGAAAUUUCUUGUUGAAAAUCCUGAAGCACUGGAAGAUUUAACUAAAGAACAUGAAGCCAUUCUAAGCAACCGAAAAACCAAUGAUUCUGAAAUCACUUGGGAGGAAUACAGGUCCAUGACUUUUACUCAUAUGGUUAUCAAUGAAACAACAAGGCUUGCAAACAUUGUCCCAGGAAUUUUCAGGAAGGCUGUCAAAGACGUACAAAUAAAAGGAUAUACAAUUCCAGCAGGCUGGAUGGUUGUGGCAUGUCCAACAACUGUUCAUUUGAACCCUGUGAAAUACAGUGAUCCUCUGGCCUUCAAUCCAUGGCGGUGGCAGUUUCCAUUUUAUAAAACGAGAGGGAGAAGAACUGCACUCAGGAUCAAAGAAUUAUAUGGCAUUCGGAGGAGGAGUGAGACUUUGUGCAGGAGCUGAUUUUGUUAAACUGCAAAUGGCCAUAUUUCUCCACUAUUUGGUUACAAAAUACAGGUGGAGUGUGAUCAAGGGACAUGUCCUGAAGAAGCCAGGCGUGGUGUUUCCGGAUGGUUUCCACAUUCAACUCUUUGACAAAAAUACUAACUAAGAGUUGGACGACAAAUUUGUGAUGUAUCUUAUUUACUAUAAUAUGUGAUUCUAGUUCAGUAUCCGUCCGUACUUGACUUGAUUCUUAAUUAAUUAAAAAUAAAAAUAACAUUCAGAGUCACCGCGUCUAAUAAUAAUGGACACUUCAAUCCUUGGGUUUGAAUUUACGAUGGGAUAGUAUUAGGCCACCCUCUUUCGGUCUAUUUUGUAGUUAAUAUAAUAUUAAAUUCAUAAUUAAUAUUUUAUUUCUCUCUUA